UACGGAGGGUGCGAGCGUUGUCCGGAUUGACUGGGCGUAAAGCGCACGCAGGCGGAUGCGCGCGUGGGGUGUGAAAUCUGGCCGCUUAACGGCCAGGCGCCAUCCCAUACGGCGCGUCUGGAGUGAUGCAGAGGUCGAUGGAAUUGCCGGUGUAGUGGUGAAAUGCGUAGAGAUCGGCAGGAACACCCAGGGGGAAACCAGUCGACUGGGCAUCUACUGACGCUGAGGUGCGAGAGCGUGGGGAGCGAACCGG
rnacentral:rRNA from 1 species